rnacentral:rRNA from 1 species
UACGGAGGGAGCUAGCGUUGUUCGGAAUUACUGGGCGUAAAGCGCGCGUAGGCGGCUUUGUAAGUUAGAGGUGAAAGCCCGGGGCUCAACCCCGGAAUUGCCUUUAAGACUGCAUCGCUUGAAUCCGGGAGAGGUGAGUGGAAUUCCGAGUGUAGAGGUGAAAUUCGUAGAUAUUCGGAAGAACACCAGUGGCGAAGGCGCUCACUGGACACGUAUUGACGCUGAGGUGCGAAAGCGUGGGGAGCAAACAGG